rnacentral:misc_RNA from 1 species
CCGGGGUCACCGGGCGCUCCGGCGCCCGACACCAACCCUUUGGUUUCCGCUCGUCCUUCGGCGCGAAGGAGGUCCCCCCUGCGGGGGGGCCUCUGCCGAAAUCAACCCUGAACAACCAUGCUGCCUGAUGUUAUAAAGCAAAUCGUUAAAACUUUCAACAACGGAUCUCUUGGUUCUGGCAACGAUGAAGAACGCAGCGAAAUGCGAUAAGUAAUGUGAAUUGCAGAAUUCAGUGAAUCAUCGAAUCUUUGAACGCACAUUGCGCCCCCUGGUAUUCCGGGGGGCACGCCUGUUCGAGCGCCAUUUCAACCCUCAAGCCACGCUUGGUGAUGGGCACCGCCUGCGGGCGGGUCCGAAACUCGUGGGCGCCAACGGCCGGCUCCGAGCGUAGCAAGACCCUCGCUCGGGACCCCGGUCGUGGGCCGCCCCGGACCCCUCACACCUCACAAG